rnacentral:lncRNA from 1 species
GGAGAAUUUUGGGGGGGUUGCGAGCUGGGGGUGCAGCCCCCGUGCACCGGGGAGGGCGCAGGGGGGGGUUUAUCCCCUCCCCAACCCCCCCGGGGGUCCCCUGGUGCCUUGCAGCCGCCUGCCUGGAGGCUCCGGACGCGGGGCCGUGCCGCUCCUACUCGCCCAAGUGGUUCUUCGAGGAGCCCGGGCGCUGCUCCCUCUUCUGGUACGGGGGCUGCGGGGGGAGCCGCAACCGCUUCGAGAGCCGGGAGCAGUGCGAGGCCCUCUGCGUGGCUCCGGGCGCCGGGGGGAGCCGGGACCCCCUCCCCAAAAACUCCUCCGCCUGCGCUCCCGGCUGCUGACGCGCGCUUUGAGGGUACCCCAAAAAAAUAUAAACCAUUCCCUGGAGACGCUGCCGCCCCUCCUCACCUCUCCCGGCCUCCGUGGGGUGGGGGGAGGAGGAUUUUGGAGGGUUUUGGAGGGUUUUGGAGGAUUUUGGAGGGUUUUGGAGAGCUCCGGCACGGCGAGGGGGCGCAGAGCCCUGGCACCGCUCCGCGCGCCCCUCUGCCUGCGAGGCUGAGGAAGGGGUUUGGGGGGGGGGUUAAAAUAAAACCUCGCGGCCCGUUUCACGCCUGCUGGUGCUGUGGGGCCGGGGGGAGGCGAGGGGAUGAGGGGGGGGCGCCCCGGAGCUGCGGGGAACCCCGGCCAGGCGCGCCGCGUCCCGGCCAGAUGCAGCUGCAGCGUCCCGGGGGGGAGCUGCGGGGGCCGGAGCCAGGCGAGGGGGGAGGCAGCUGCGCUGCUGGCCGGCUCCCAUCCCGGAGGGGGGGGGCACAGCUCCCUGUUCCCACCCCCCCCCGUCCCCUCCCCGGGCUCCUUUCCCUGCUCCAGCCACGAUUCUGCGGUGCUUGGGAGCGCAAAGCUCCUCCGGGGUGUGGGGAGGGAGGGGGGCAUAAAUGGGGGCGCUCUGCUCUCCGUGGGGGUGGCAGGGACCCCCCCCCACAGCCGGCUCCGUCACGGGGGUGUCCCCAGGAACAGCUCCGGGACCUGGUUUCUUCCCCUCGUCCUUUAUUCGGCUCCGAGGGGACACUUUUGGCACAUUUGGGGACAUUUUCAGCUGGGCAUCCAGCUGGGGACUGCGGCGGAAUCGCCCCCCAGGCCGGUGCUCCAAGCCCCAGCCGAGGUCACUGGGCAAGCAGAGAAGCAGAAUGGAGAAUUUUGGGGGUUUUAAAUGUUUUUUGGGUUUUUUAA